GAAGCUGACCAGACAGUCGCCGCUUCGUCGUCGUCCUUUCGGGGAGACGGGCGGAGGGGAGGAAAGUCCGGGCUCCAUAGGGCAGGGUGCCAGGUAACGCCUGGGGGGGAAACCCACGACCAGUGCAACAGAGAGCAAACCGCCGAUGGCUCACGUAAGUGGGAUCAGGUAAGGGUGAAAGGGUGCGGUAAGAGCGCACCGCGCGGCUGGUAACAGUCCGUGGCACGGUAAACUCCACCCGGAGCAAGGCCAAAUAGGGGUUCAUAAGGUACGGCCCGUACUGAACCCGGGUAGGCUGCUUGAGCCAGUGAGCGAUUGCUGGCCUAGAUGAAUGACUGUCCACGACAGAACCCGGCUUAUCGGUCAGUUUCACCU
rnacentral:RNase_P_RNA from 1 species